rnacentral:rRNA from 1 species
CCUACGGGUGGCAGCAGUGAGGAAUAUUGGUCAAUGGACGAGAGUCUGAACCAGCCAAGUAGCGUGAAGGAUGACUGCCCUAUGGGUUGUAAACUUCUUUUUUAUGGGAAUAAAACGUUCCACGUGUGGGAUUUUGUAUGUACCAUAUGAAUAAGGAUCGGCUAACUCCGUGCCAGCAGCCGCGGUAAUACGGAGGAUCCGAGCGUUAUCCGGAUUUAUUGGGUUUAAAGGGAGCGUAGGUGGAUUGUUAAGUCAGUUGUGAAAGUUUGCGGCUCAACCGUAAAAUUGCAGUUGAAACUGGCAGUCUUGAGUACAGUAGAGGUGGGCGGAAUUCGUGGUGUAGCGGUGAAAUGCUUAGAUAUCACGAAGAACUCCGAUUGCGAAGGCAGUUCACUGGACUGCAACUGACACUGAGGCUCGAAAGUGUGGGUAUCAAACAGGAUUAGAUACCCUAGUAGUC